rnacentral:lncRNA from 1 species
ACAUCUGUCAGGAAUGGUGAAGGGCAACCAAUCAGGCUUCAGGAUGAAGAUUUGGCAAGGACAAUGUUGAGCACUCCAUCUUCUUCUAGGCCUCUAAAAAAUAGCAAUGGCCAGUACAGAACUCUGCCACCUUCAUUUGCAAAUGGUAUUGAACCUCUAAAAAAUAGCAAUGGCCAGUACAGAACUCUGCCACCUUCAUUUGCAAAUGGUAUUGAUAUCAAGAAAGCCCGUUAUACUCGAGGUUCUGGAGACAGAACUUAUCCACAUUCAAGUUCAUAUGUGGGGUCACCGU